AAUAGAUACCCGGGUAGUCCACGCCGUAAACGAUGAGUGCUAAGUGUUAGGGGGUUUCCGCCCCUUAGUGCUGCAGCUAACGCAUUAAGCACUCCGCCUGGGGAGUACGGUCGCAAGACUGAAACUCAAAGGAAUUGACGGGGGCCCGCACAAGCGGUGGAGCAUGUGGUUUAAUUCGAAGCAACGCGAAGAACCUUACCAGGUCUUGACAUCCCAUUGACCGCUAUGGAGACAUAGUUUUCCCUUCGGGGACAGUGGUGACAGGUGGUGCAUGGUUGUCGUCAGCUCGUGUCGUGAGAUGUUGGGUUAAGUCCCGCAACGAGCGCAACCCUUGUUCUUAGUUGCCAUCAUUUAGUUGGGCACUCUAAGGAGACUGCCGGUGACAAACCGGAGGAAGGUGGGGAUGACGUCAAAUCAUCAUGCCCCUUAUGACCUGGGCUACACACGUGCUACAAUGGACGGUACAAACGGUUGCCAACCCGCGAGGGGGAGCUAAUCCGAUAAAACCGUUCUCAGUUCGGAUUGUAGGCUGCAACUCGCCUACA
rnacentral:rRNA from 1 species